UAUGUGAAACUAUUAGCGCUAUGUGCAUCUCUUUAAAACAUGGAUUAUACAUGUCGGUUUUCUGCAGCUGUGCAGGACGAUUGCUGCAACUGUAAACAUCUCCGUGGCUGCAGAUAUUGUGGCUUUGACUUCUCGGCGGCGUGUCUCAUCUGUUUAUGCGAUCACAUUCAGUCAAUACGAUGCUGCGUAUGGGCGGAUGACGACUGUAUACGCCAAGUUAUUCUCCUUGUGUAUCCUGAGCUCCACCAGCUGAGUGAUUAAACUCAAACUAAAACUUUGCAUUGCCACUAUGGAGUAUUAUCUUCACCUCCACUGAUUCCCGGGUCCCUGUGCCUGUUAUUCGAGUGAUAGGGGUAUGCAGUGACGUCACCGCUGUCUUGUUCCGGGUUGAAUAUUCGCGUUCGUGAACGUGAAUCCCAUUUUGAUACGUUUGUGAAUCCGCUAAUGCGGUGGGAGUGCUUUUGCACUUAUAUGGUCCAGUUAUGUUUUCAGUUGAUUUACUUGUUGUUUUGGGUUAAUUUUUGUAUUAUUGCCAGCGUACUGGCGUGAACAUAUGUUUUCUUUCUGUUUGUUUCAGUGACAAUUGGUUUUGUUUCUUUAUUCUUUAAUUCAAUUUAAUUUGGUUAAUUUUGUUAUUGUGUGUUUGACAGGCAUUAAGUGUCAGCUGUGUUGCCUGCCUGAAUUUUGUAAAUCCUUUUUGUUUCUGUUUGAGUGUGUGUGUGUGUGUGUGUGUGUGUGUUUGUGUGUGUGCUGUGUUAUUUUGUUUUACAGGAGCUGCAGACCUUUGAUGAAGAGCAGGGCUAAAUAAAGUCUUUCUUUAGGUGGUGAUGGUGUUUCCUCACGGAGUGCUGUGAUUUGCCGUGUGCACUGGGGCUUUUGGAGUGGUGUGAGUUUGCAGUGUACGUAGAGUAAAGGCCUGUACGGCCGGUCAUUUAGCCGAGGCUGCAGCUCCUUGUGUCGUCCUUCUGGACCAUUUGUGUGAUUGUGGUCCCAGUUUAUGCAUCUUGUGAAUGCAUUUUAAAUUUCUUCUGACUUUGCAAAUACAAUAAAUACUCUAUUUUUAUACCAGUA